rnacentral:rRNA from 1 species
GAUGAACGCUGGCGGCGUGCCUAAUACAUGCAAGUCGAGCGAACAGAUGAGGAGCUUGCUCCUCUGACGUUAGCGGCGGACGGGUGAGUAACACGUGGAUAACCUACCUAUAAGACUGGGAUAACUUCGGGAAACCGGAGCUAAUACCGGAUAAUAUAUUGAACCGCAUGGUUCAAUAGUGAAAGACGGUUUUGCUGUCACUUAUAGAUGGAUCCGCGCCGCAUUAGCUAGUUGGUAAGGUAACGGCUUACCAAGGCAACGAUGCGUAGCCGACCUGAGAGGGUGAUCGGCCACACUGGAACUGAGACACGGUCCAGACUCCUACGGGAGGCAGCAGGAGGGAAUCUUCCGCAAUGGGCGAAAGCCUGACGGAGCAACGCCGCGUGAGUGAUGAAGGUCUUCGGAUCGUAAAACUCUGUUAUUAGGGAAGAACAAAUGUGUAAGUAACUAUGCACGUCUUGACGGUACCUAAUCAGAAAGCCACGGCUAACUACGUG